GACGAACGCUGGCGGCGUGCCUAAUACAUGCAAGUAGAACGCUGAAGGAGGAGCUUUCUCUUCUGGAUGAGUUGCGAACGGGUGAGUAACGCGUAUGUAACCUGCCUGUUAGCGGGGGAUAACUAUUGGAAACGAUAGCUAAUACCGCAUAAGAGUAGAUGUUGCAUGACAUUUACUUAAAAGUUGCAAUUUCAUCACUACCAGAUGGACCUUCGUUGUAUUAGCUAGUUGGUGGUGUAACGGCUUACCAAGGCGACGAUACAUAGCCGAACUGAGAGGGUGAUCGGCAAAACUGGGAAUGAGACAAGGCCCAGAAUCAUACGGGAGGCAGCAGUAGGGAAUCUUCGGCAAUGGAAGGAAGUCUGACCGAGCAAAGCCGGGUGAGUGAAGAAGGUUUUCGGAUCGUAAAGCUCUGUUGUAAGAGAAGAACGAGUGUGAGAGUGGAAAGUUCACAAUGUGACGGUAUCUUACCAGAAAGGGACGGCUAACUACGUG
rnacentral:rRNA from 1 species